AUUCACAUUUCUAAAUGUCUAUAAACGCUAGCUUGAGAAACACAUCUGUGGAAAGCAACAAAAUGUGGGCUUUUGGUGCCAAAGUCCUGUGGCUUCGCUUCUGUUUAAGUUAAAAACUGACGAGUGAAAAGUGACAUUUCUGUCAACCCUGGGAACGCCUGUAGCGCAGCUCAACAUGCACAGACUUGUACCUGUAAAGUAAGUCAGAGGAAGAAAGAGAAGCCCGACAAGGAGGACACUUAUCUGCACAACGGCAGAAAAAUACUUUUCGGCAACAGAAAACACAUGUUAGCUCCUGUUAAUGAUGUCAUUGAUGGCGUGGGGGGAGUCAUUUGACCGUCUUCUGGAGUGUAAAAGAGGAUCGAGGAUAUAUUCUCCUCUCAAGUUCAUCAAACCCAUUUGGAAGAUAUAUUUAAGGAGGACGACACUGGCCGAGAUAAGAAGCGUAAUCUGAGCUGCCGGUGUAGAUAGGAUGAUUUCAACCAACUCUUAUUCAUUUAUAAAGCCGGCACCCGCUCACGGCUAUCACCUGACCACACUCCUGCCCUUUUUUUGAAAAUGACAGAGCCUGUUGUCUUCGGCAUCAAGAUUGACUGCCCUCCAGAGUAUAAAUUUCAUCUCGCAUUCCAUUUGCUCCAUUUCCCUUUGAAGGACUGCAAUGACACGUUUGAUAAACAGGUAAACAGGGGCAGAAAAAAAAGGAAAAGAAAAAAAAUCUAAUGCCAU
ensembl:lncRNA